rnacentral:lncRNA from 1 species
AAAAAUGAUAUUGUUUGCAACCACAAGAACAAUUGAUAAAAUUAUAGAAUUAACCCCAAAAAAUAAGGUAAUAAGAUCACAUUUUUACUAAUUAAGCAACUGGAGUGUCUAAUAUAGUUUCUACUACUGUAUCUCUGUGAUUGUUUGUCAAGAAUCUAAUAGAUGUUAUUAAUAAAAUAAAUUGAUUCUUUCAAAAUUAAGAAUGAAAGUGAAAAUUAUUUGUGUGUUCUUUGUUUGUUGAAAGAGAACAGAUAUAAGACUUAGUAUCAAUUAAAAAUACAAUUAAUUCAAGUAUAACACUAAAAUUAUCAAACUAGAAAGAGAGAAUUAAAAAAAUAUCAAAAUUAAAAGAAAAAAUACCUGAAAUUCAAGAAGCAAAUGAAGCUGAAGCAAGCUGAACUUCUUUGUGGGUUCUUCUUCGAGAGAGAAUGAAGAUGAAAUUUGAAAUUGAGUGAUUGAUGAAAAAAUGAGAGAUGACUGUCAUUUAUAAUGAGAAUGAAAAUGUACGAAACAGAACAAAUUAAAGCAAUAAUCACUUCUUAGAGUGAGUUUACAGACUCAAUAAAUAAAAAUCUCAUUAACAAUAGAAAUCAAUAACAUUACUUCUAAUCUGCAAGCAAUUUGAGAAUUGUUGCAGUUAUGUAAUUUUCCUUUGUUAAAAUGUAUUAAACAGACCAAAUUGAAGCUAAGUGCAUUACGUUAAUAUUAUUACAAGAAACAUCUCAAUAAGAUGCUUGUUAAAAACAAAAAUAAUAUUUUAAAGAGACAUUUCAUCAAACAAGCAACGUGCAUUCAAAUAGGAGAACAGAUACGACAAUUGGAAUCAAUUAAAUCAACCCUAGAUUGUUUAAAAAUACAAAUAAUUCAACUAUAACCCUAAAAUUAUCAAAUCAGAAAGAGAGACGUAGAAAAAAAUUAUCAAAAUUAAAGGAAACAAUACCUGAAAUUCGAGAAGCAAGCUAAAAUUCUUUGUGCGUUCUUCUUCGAGAGAGGAUGGAGAUGAAAUUCGAAAUUAAGUGAUUGAUAAAAAAUGUGAGGUGAUUAUUGAAAAGAAAGCAAGGGGAACGAGUUUGAAUUUUCUUAAAAGAAACAAAUAUGUUCGAAGAACAAAACAAAGGCAGUCUAGUGCGUUUUUUGUUUUUUUUCUUAAGUCAAUAAAAGGAAAAAGGUAAAUGGUAAUUAUUCAAUAAAUAUAUAAUAUAUUUGCCACUUAUUUGGUAAAACGUCAUAAGUAUUUGACGUUUAAACAAAUUGUCAUUUAUAAUUCACAAUUACUCAGUUUUUCACAAAAUGUCAUAUAUAUUUGGUAUUUAUUAAAAAUUGUCAAAUAAAAAAGGUCAAGUAUUCUGUUUUUUCUUGUAGUGAAGUGAGAGUAGUGCAGAUAUGUGGGGAUUAUAUGCAAG